CAAAGUUUUGGUCCUAGACCUCCCAUUAUCUAUUAUCAAAAUUAUACAUGCAAACCUCCCCAAACCAGUGAAAAUGCCCACCACGGAGCAGGUAUCAGGCACACAUCUCAUUCACGUAGCCAAAGACGCCUAGCCAAACAGGCCACGCCCCCACGGGACCCAGCAGUAAUAAACAUUAAGCAAUAAGCGAAUAUCAACAGCUUGACUUAGUUAUGAUAAAAAGGGCUGGUAAAUUUCGUGCCAGCCACCGCGGUUACACGAAAAGCCCAAAAUAAUGAUUAUCGGCGUAAAGCGUGACUAAUAGUAAAUGUUCCAAAAGAAAUACAAACCCCCUCUAAGUUAUAAAACACACCAAGAGAACAGGAAGCCCCAAAUUUCACCACAAAACACCUUUGACUCACGAAAACUAAGAUACAAACUAGGAUUAGAUACCCUACUAUGCUUAGCCGUAAACAUAGAUCUUUAUAAACACCACGAUCCGCCAGAGAAUUACUAGUGAAAAACUUAAAACUCAAAGGACUUGACGGUAUCUCAUAUCAGCCUAGAGGAGCCUGUCCUAUAAUCGAUACCCCACGAAAAACCUCACCCCCAUUCGCACAUUCAGCCUAUAUACCGCCGUCGUCAGCUUACCUUAUGAAAGACCCCAAGUAAGCACAAAAGCCCAACCACAAAAACGUCAGGUCAAGGUGUAGCACAUAUGGCGGGAAGAGAUGGGCUACAUUUCCUAAAAGGACACACAAGAUACUGCCCUGAAUAAAGCAUAAUACGGUGGAUUUAGUAGUAAGCACAAGUAAGAAAGCUUGUCUGAAACUUGCUCUGAGAUGCGUACACACCGCCCGUCACCCUCCUCAGCAAAAAACACACACUCCAUAAACCAACACUAAUAGCACAGAUGAGGCAAGUCGUAACAUGGUAAGCGUACUGGAAAGUGCGCUUGGCUCA
rnacentral:ncRNA from 1 species